rnacentral:rRNA from 1 species
UACGUAGGGUGCAAGCGUUGUCCGGAAUUAUUGGGCGUAAAGAGCUCGUAGGCGGUCUGUCGCGUCUGCUGUGAAAAUCCAGGGCUCAACCCUGGACCUGCAGUGGGUACGGGCAGACUAGAGUGCGGUAGGGGAGAUCGGAAUUCCGGGUGUAGCGGUGGAAUGCGUAGAGAUCCGGAGGAAGACCGGUGGCGAAGGCGGUCUGCUGGGCAGUUCUGACACUGAUGCGCGACAGCGUGGGGAGCAAACAGG